CCAAACCUGAUCCUUGCCUAAGGACAUAUGCUCCUUGCAAUGUAUUCCCAAAUACCUGACCCCAUUUGUAUGAAAAUCCUAAUUCUGUGCUUUACCACUACUAUUUUCCUUUCACCCCCACCCCUCUCUAUUCUCCACUCAAUUUUAAAUCUCUAUUCUUGCACUUCCACCAUAUUCUUAGAAUUAGGUUCUGCCCCUCUUGUGUGAGCCUUGCCUUGGGACCCAUGAUGUCCCUCUAAACUUGGACACAUAAAGGCUGGCCCUUCCACACUGCACUCAUCUCUAUCUAGUUCUGCAAACUUGAGUGUAAGCACUGCCUAGGGUCCUUUGAGACCCUUAGGAACUUUGACACACCCAGGUCUGAGAAAGGCUCUCGAAACAAAAAAAUGGCAUUUUGAGGUGGUUUAUUCCCUAA
rnacentral:lncRNA from 1 species